UACGAAGGGGGCUAGCGUUGCUCGGAAUGACUGGGCGUAAAGGGCGCGUAGGCGGUUUGUACAGUCAGAUGUGAAAUUCCUGGGCUUAACCUGGGGGCUGCAUUUGAUACGUGCAGACUUGAGUGAGGAAGAGGGUUGUGGAAUUCCCAGUGUAGAGGUGAAAUUCGUAGAUAUUGGGAAGAACACCGGUGGCGAAGGCGGCAACCUGGUCCUUGACUGACGCUG
rnacentral:rRNA from 1 species